rnacentral:rRNA from 1 species
GUGGAUUAGAUACCCUGGUAGUCCACACUGUAAACGAUGGAUACUAGGUGUAGGAGAUGAUUUCAUCAUCUGUGCCGAAAGCAAACGCAAUAAGUAUCCCACCUGGGGAGUACGGCCGCAAGGUUGAAACUCAAAGGAAUUGACGGGGGCCCGCACAAGCAGUGGAGUAUGUGGUUUAAUUCGAAGCAACGCGAAGAACCUUACCAGGGCUUGACAUAUACAGGAAUAUUUAAGAGAUUAAAUAGCUCUUCGGAGUCUGUAUACAGGUGGUGCAUGGCCGUCGACAACU